GACCACGUAGCUCAGUUGGCAGAGCAUUGGGCUAGUAUUUCAAAGGUUGUAGGUUUGAUUCCCACCGUGGCCA
rnacentral:tRNA from 1 species